UACGUAGGGGGCAAGCGUUGUCCGGAUUUAUUGGGCGUAAAGGGCGCGCAGGCGGCGCUUCAAGUCCGUUGUGAAAUUUCAGGGCUUAACCCUGACGGGUCAACGGAAACUGAAGGGCUAGAGUGCAGCAGAGGAAAGCGGAAUUCCCGGUGUAGUGGUGAAAUGCGUAGAUAUCAGGAGGAACACCGGUGGCGAAGGCGGUUCUCUGGGCAUGUCCUGACGCUGAGGAGCGAAAGUGUGGGGAGCGAACAGG
rnacentral:rRNA from 1 species